rnacentral:rRNA from 1 species
UGGCUCAGAUUGAACGCUGGCGGCAUGCCUUACACAUGCAAGUCGAACGGCAGCACGGGUGCUUGCACCUGGUGGCGAGUGGCGAACGGGUGAGUAAUACAUCGGAACAUGUCCUGUAGUGGGGGAUAGCCCGGCGAAAGCCGGAUUAAUACCGCAUACGAUCUACGGAUGAAAGCGGGGGACCUUCGGGCCUCGCGCUAUAGGGUUGGCCGAUGGCUGAUUAGCUAGUUGGUGGGGUAAAGGCCUACCAAGGCGACGAUCAGUAGCUGGUCUGAGAGGACGACCAGCCACACUGGGACUGAGACACGGCCCAGACUCCUACGGGAGGCAGCAGUGGGGAAUUUUGGACAAUGGGCGAAAGCCUGAUCCAGCAAUGCCGCGUGUGUGAAGAAGGCCUUCGGGUUGUAAAGCACUUUUGUCCGGAAAGAAAUCCUUGGUUCUAAUAUAACCGGGGGAUGACGGUACCGGAAGAAUAAGCACCGGCUAACUACGUGCCAGCAGCCGCGGUAAUACGUAGGGUGCGAGCGUUAAUCGGAAUUACUGGGCGUAAA